UGGGGAAUAUUGCAUAAUGGGCGCAAGCCUGAUGCAGCCAUGCCGCGUGUAUGAAGAAGGCCUUCGGGUUGUAAAGUACUUUCAGCGGGGAGGAAGGCGAUAAGGUUAAUAACCUUGUCGAUUGACGUUACCCGCAGAAGAAGCACCGGCUAACUCCGUGCCAGCAGCCGCGGUAAUACGGAGGGUGCAAGCGUUAAUCGGAAUUACUGGGCGUAAAGCGCACGCAGGCGGUCUGUCAAGUCGGAUGUGAAAUCCCCGGGCUCAACCUGGGAACUGCAUUCGAAACUGGCAGGCUAGAGUCUUGUAGAGGGGGGUAGAAUUCCAGGUGUAGCGGUGAAAUGCGUAGAGAUCUGGAGGAAUACCGGUGGCGAAGGCGGCCCCCUGGACAAAGACUGACGCUCAGGUGCGAAAGCGUGGGGAGCAAACA
rnacentral:rRNA from 1 species